rnacentral:tRNA from 1 species
UCCACCAUAGCUCAAUGGUAGAGCAUUCGGCUGUUAACCGAAGGGUUGUAGGUUCGAGCCCUACUGGUGGAG